rnacentral:misc_RNA from 1 species
GGUCUCCUGUGUUGCUUACCAAUGAAAUGGAAUUUGAUAGUCUUGUAAUGCGGAUUCGCCUUGUGCUCUCUGGGGGGCGAGGUGGACAUACGGUGAGCACUGUGUUCCUAACAUGCCAAGCGCAUUGGUGUUUGGUUGUUGUGGCCUAUGGUGUCUUUGCUUGUUAUCUCGGAUGCGGAAAGCUAAGUGUGGGUGUAAGGUCUCGACCUUGAAUCAUCCUAGCACUGUCUUAUGACUCGAAUAACUGCUGUGCCUGACUUGAUCUUCCCGACCAAGGCCUCGUAAUGGGGCUUACUGGACGAGGGUGGAUCAUGCAGGUGUUCGCGUAAAGAG